GGGUCAGUAGGUUGGUCGUGCCACCGGUACGUACUGGUCUCACUGAUUCCUCCUUCCUGAAGAACCGUGAUGCCAUUAAUUUGGUGUUGCGGGGAAACAGGACUGUUACUUUGAAAAAAUUAGAGUGUUUAAAGCAAGCUAACGCUUGAAUACAUUAGCAUGGAAUAAUGAAAUAGGACGAUCGAUCCUAUUUUGUUGGUUUCUGGGAUUGACGUA
rnacentral:rRNA from 1 species